rnacentral:rRNA from 1 species
UCCGUAGGUGAACCUGCGGAAGGAUCAUUGUCGAAAUCGAACGGAAGAACGACCCGCGAAUCGUCAUUGCGUACUAGACAGAGCCCGUGGGCACCUAACGCUCAUGGGGCUCGCGUCGCGUCGGCGCGGGUGUCCUCGAGACCCGCGUCGUACCGGCGGACAAACAAUGUCAGCACGGAUCGUGCCAAGGAGCUUUAUUGAGAGAAUCGUCGACCCACGCCUUCGGUAGUCCUCGAUGCGGGACGGGGGGCGGGGGACGUACGCAGUCUCUACUACCCAAAGUCUAAACGACUCUCGGCAACGGAUAUCUCGGCUCUUGCAUCGAUGAAGAACGUAGCUGAAAUGCGAUACUUGGUGUGAAUUGCAGAAUCCCGCGAACCAUCAAUUCUUUGAACGCAAGUUGCGCCCGAAGCCAUACGGCCGAGGGCACGCCUGCCUGGGUGUCGUGAAUCCCCUUGCCCCUAGGCACCCGCAUGAGCAUUGGCGGGUAUUAUGCUCGGGCGCAGAAUAUGGUCUCCCGUGGGAUCGGCAUGCNCGGCAUGUCGAGGCGCGGUUGGCCGAAAAUCGAGCAUGGCGGUGUCGGGCACCACGGCGUUCGGUGGAUCGAAUGAGAUUGGCUGCGUCGUGGGCUCGGCACGCGGCGGGCUCCGGACUUUGAAUAUCCCCGAGUGCGAUCCCAGGUCAGGCGGGGCUACCCGCUGAGUUUAAG